rnacentral:rRNA from 1 species
GACGAACGCUGGCGGCGUGCUUAACACAUGCAAGUCGAACGGUGAAGCGCCUUCCUUUUUGGUGGGUGUGGAUGAGUGGCGAACGGGUGAGUAACACGUGAGUAACCUGCCCCCUUCUUCUGGAUAACCGCAUGAAAGUGUGGCUAAUACGGGAUAUUCUGGGUCUGUCGCAUGAUGGGUCUGGGAAAGAUAUUGUUUCGGUGGGUGAUGGGCUCGCGGCCUAUCAGCUUGUUGGUGGGGUGAUGGCCUACCAAGGCGGUGACGGGUAGCCGGCCUGAGAGGGUGGACGGUCACACUGGGAAUGAGACACGGCCCAGACUCCUACGGGAGGCAGCAGGGGGGAAUAUUGCACAAUGGGCGCAAGCCUGAUGCAGCGACGCCGCGUGAGGGAUGGAGGCCUUCGGGUUGUGAACCUCUUUCGCCAGUGAAGCAGGCCUGCCUCGUUUGUGGGUGGGUUGACGGUAGCUGGAGAAGAAGCGCCGGCUAACUACGUG